rnacentral:rRNA from 1 species
AACGAACGCUGGCGGCAUGCCUAACACAUGCAAGUCGAACGAGACCUUCGGGUCUAGUGGCGCACGGGUGCGUAACGCGUGGGAAUCUGCCCUUGGGUUCGGAACAACAGUUGGAAACGACUGCUAAUACCGGAUGAUGACUUCGGUCCAAAGAUUUAUCGCCCAGGGAUGAGCCCGCGUCGGAUUAGCUAGUUGGUGAGGUAAAAGCUCACCAAGGCGACGAUCCGUAGCUGGUCUGAGAGGAUGAUCAGCCACACUGGGACUGAGACACGGCCCAGACUCCUACGGGAGGCAGCAGUGGGGAAUAUUGGACAAUGGGCGAAAGCCUGAUCCAGCAAUGCCGCGUGAGUGAUGAAGGCCUUAGGGUUGUAAAGCUCUUUUACCCGGGAUGAUAAUGACAGUACCGGGAGAAUAAGCCCCGGCUAACUCCGUGCCAGCCGCCGCCGUAAGAC